rnacentral:lncRNA from 1 species
UUCACCUCCUGGACUCAAGCAAUCCUCUCACCUCAGGCUCCUGACACACCAGUUGCACACUCAGGUGAAAAUUCAGGAAGAAAAGAAGCCGUCUACAUCGCGGUGGAUGCCUUGGCUUAUGAAAACUUUGGUAGGUCUUUAUUUGUCAGACUUAUUCUUCCAUUUCUUUUCAGUGCUACCGAAACAGGAAAAGUUCCCUCGUCACCCUUGCAGGGUGUGCGGUGGGGGUGUGUCCUGCUUCUUUGGUCAAAUCUCUAGGGGGAACAUGCAGACAGGCUCUGGGGCUCUGAACUCACAGCAGCAUCUAGGGGUGAAUGUUUACAGCACCGGAAGCUCCCGCAGGCAUGUGUUACCAUGUGCUCUUUUAGUUUUGCCAUCUGUAGGUGGCUUGUGUUUAGCAGCUCAAUCAGACCCCCUGACUUAUGGCAAUGUGUCCGGAAUUUAUUCCUUCCAGUGGGUUCUUGGUCUCGCUGACUUCAAGAAUGAAGCUGUGGACCUUCACGGUGAGUGUUACAGCUCUUAAAGAUGGUGUGUCCGGAGUUUGUUCCUUCAGAUGUGUUCAGAGUUUCUUCCUCCAGCUGGAUUUGUGGAUUUGCUGAUCUCAGGAAUGAAGCCGCAGAUCCUCGCCAUGAGUGUUACAGCUCAUAAAGGUAGUGCAGACCUAAAGACUGAGCAGCAGCAAGAUUUACUGUGAAGAGGGAAAGAACAAAGCUUCCACAGCGUGGAAUGGGACGCGAGCAGGUUGCCGCUGCUGGCUCAGGUGGCCAACUUUUAUGCCUUUAUUUGGCCCCGCCCACUUCCUGCUGAUUGGUCCAUUUUACAGAGGGCUGAUUGGUGCGUUUUUACAGAGCACUGAUUGGUGCAUUUACAAUCAUUUAGCUAGACACAGAGCGCUGAUUGGUGCGUUUUUACAGAGUGCUGACUGGUGCAUUUACAAUACUUUAGCUAGACUCAGAGCUCUGAUUGGUGCAUUUACAAUCCUCUAGCUACACAGGAAAGUUCUCCAAGUCCCCACCCGACCCAGGAAGUCCAGCUGGCUUCACCUCUCAGCAAGGACAGAGGGCUUUCUGUAUCCUGGGGUUUCUUGCCUUGGUGUACCAAAAGAGUCAAAUCACACAUGGGCUUGGAGAAAGAGUGCAAGGGUUGAGUGGAAGUAGCUCUCAGCAGAUGGGGGAGCCAGAAGGGAGAUGGAGUAGGAAGGUGGUCAUCCCCUGGAGUCGGGCCAUUCAGUGGCCCUCCUCUGACCACCCGGCCAAACUCCUCAUCGUUCUGCGGAUGGAUGGCCUGCAAGCCUCUGCUGGUGCCUGUUGAUGUGAUCUUCCGGGUGCGUUCCUCUCAAUAUCCAGCUGCUUGUGUCUUCUUCCGCCCGUGUGUUUCUCUCCACAUCCAGGUGCUUGUGUGUGUACCCUCUAGGGUCUCGGGGUUUUUAUAGGCACAGGAUAGGGGUGUGGUGGGCUAGGGUGGUCUUGAGAAAUGUGACAUUUGGGCAGGAAAACAGAAAUGUCUGUCCUCUCCUCAGUCCGUGGGCACAGGCCUAGAUAUGGAGCCCUAGCCAAAAGAGUCAAAUCACACAUGGGCCAGGGACCUGCCUUUCUCUAUCCAGUACUUCCGUGCCCCAAGCCCGAUUUAGUACCUGACCUUUAACUCCACUUAAACCAAUAAUGCUUAAAAAUGGCAGAAGGUAGCUUUGGAUGAAGCCCACACUUUCCCUAAAAUCACCCAAAGUACACUUUCUGGAAUUAAAAUCAGCGUUUGUAAACAACUUGGAAAUAGACAGGCCCCCUGAAAGUUUCACCUGACUCUGCACUAGGCUCACAUUCAAACGUCUGAGGCACCAGCUGAGUGAAUCAGGCAAGCAAGGUCCAUGGAGAGGGCUGUCUCUUCUCUGGGGGCAGGCACUUCUCAGCUCCAGCUGAUUGUUGAUAUGUAGAAAUGUCUGAUCAUAUUGUCUGAUCAUGAAGUUUUGCAAAGGAAGUCAGAAGUUUUAAUUUUCAUCUGAAUGCUCCCAAUGACUAACUGAUGACAAUUGCUGGAAAAUAUUUUAAAACCCACUCUAAAACUCGCUGUACUUCAAGCAGAUGUCUAUUCUCUGGCAAUAUACAAUCUCAGCUCUAAAGGUUUGCCUUAUUCUCUACAUGGAUUCCAUCUUUGCCUUUCAUUUCUACUCAUGUCAUGUUCUCAAAAGAAUAUUACUGGAAUAAAAUUACAUGCUUGUAUCAGAAAAUUGUAUUGACAUUCAUCUACAAACACAAAUUCCCAGGAAAACAGAUUGCAAAUGAGGUUUUGUGGUUUUGGUUUUUUUUUUUUUUGAGAUUGACUUUUAUGCUCAGAAGUGGAUUUGGUUUUAAAAAUCUGACAUUCAG